AGAGUUUGAUCAUGGCUCAGAGUGAACGCUGGCGGCGUGCUUAACACAUGCAAGUCGAACGAGAACGGAUUAUAGCUUGCUAUAAUUGUCAGCUAAGUGGCGCACGGGUGAGUAAUAUAUAGAUAACCUGCCCUCAAGAAAGGAAUAACAGUUGGAAACGACUGCUAAUGCCCUAUAUGCCUUUAAUACAUAAGUAUGCAAGGGAAACGCUUUAGUGCUUGAGGAUGGGUCUGUAUGGUAUCAGCUUGUUGGUGAGGUAAUGGCUCACCAAGGCUAUGACGCCUAACUGGUUUGAGAGGAUGAUCAGUCACACUGGAACUGAGACACGGUCCAGACUCCUACGGGAGGCAGCAGUGGGGAAUAUUGCACAAUGGACGAAAGUCUGAUGCAGCAACGCCGCGUGGAGGAUGACACAUUUCGGUGCGUAAACUCCUUUUAUAUAGGAAGAUAAUGACGGUACUAUAUGAAUAAGCACCGGCUAACUCCGUGCCAGCAGCCGCGGUAAUACGGAGGGUGCAAGCGUUACUCGGAAUCACUGGGCGUAAAGAGCGUGUAGGCGGGUAUAUAAGUCAGAAGUGAAAUCCAAUAGCUUAACUAUUGAACUGCUUUUGAAACUGUAUACCUAGAAUGUGGGAGAGGUAGAUGGAAUUUCUGGUGUAGGGGUAAAAUCCGUAGAGAUCAGAAGGAAUACCGAUUGCGAAGGCGAUCUACUGGAACAUUAUUGACGCUGAGACGCGAAAGCGUGGGGAGCAAACAGGAUUAGAUACCCUGGUAGUCCACGCCCUAAACGAUGCACACUA
rnacentral:rRNA from 1 species